rnacentral:rRNA from 1 species
GAUGAACGCUGGCGGCGUGCCUAAUACAUGCAAGUCGAGCGAACGGACGAGAAGCUUGCUUCUCUGAUGUUAGCGGCGGACGGGUGAGUAACACGUGGAUAACCUACCUAUAAGACUGGGAUAACUUCGGGACACCGGAGCUAAUACCGGAUAAUAUUUUGAACCGCAUGGUUCAAAAGUGAAAGACGGUCUUGCUGUCACUUAUAGAUGGAUCCGCGCUGCAUUAGCUAGUUGGUAAGGUAACGGCUUACCAAGGCAACGAUGCGUAGCCGACCUGAGAGGGUGAUCGGCCACACUGGAACUGAGACACGGUCCAGACUCCUACGGGAGGCAGCAGUAGGGAAUCUUCCGCAAUGGGCGAAAGCCUGACGGAGCAACGCCGCGUGAGUGAUGAAGGUCUUCGGAUCGUAAAACUCUGUUAUUAGGGAAGAACAGAUGUGUAAGUAACUGUGCGCAGCUUGACGGUACCUAAUCAGAAAGCCACGGCUAACUACGUG